AUUGAACGCUGGCGGCAGGCUUAACACAUGCAAGUCGAGCGGAGAUGAGGUGCUUGCACCUUAUCUUAGCGGCGGACGGGUGAGUAAUGCUUAGGAAUCUGCCUAUUAGUGGGGGACAACAUUCCGAAAGGAAUGCUAAUACCGCAUACGUCCUACGGGAGAAAGCAGGGGAGCUUCGGACCUUGCGCUAAUAGAUGAGCCUAAGUCGGAUCAGCUAGUUGGUGGGGUAAAGGCCUACCAAGGCGACGAUCUGUAGCGGGUCUGAGAGGAUGAUCCGCCACACUGGGACUGAGACACGGCCCAGACUCCUACGGGAGGCAGCAGUGGGGAAUAUUGGACAAUGGGGGAAACCCUGAUCCAGCCAUGCCGCGUGUGUGAAGAAGGCCUUAUGGUUGUAAAGCACUUUAAGCGAGGAGGAGGCUACUGAGACUAAUACUCUUGGAUAGUGGACGUUACUCGCAGAAUAAGCACCGGCUAACUCUGUGCCAGCCGCCGCAGUAACAC
rnacentral:rRNA from 1 species